rnacentral:rRNA from 1 species
CCUACGGGAGGCAGCAGUGGGGGAUAUUGGACAAUGGGGGGAACCCUGAUCCAGCGACGCCGCGUGAGUGAAGAAGUAUUUCGGUAUGUAAAGCUCUGUCAGCAGGGAAGAAAGAAAUGACGGUACCUGACCAAGAAGCCCCGGCUAACUACGUGCCAGCAGCCGCGGUAAUACGUAGGGGGCAAGCGUUAUCCGGAAUUACUGGGUGUAAAGGGAGCGUAGACGGCAGCACAAGUCUGGAGUGAAAUGCCGGGGCUUAACCCCGGAACUGCUUUGGAAACUGUGCAGCUAGAGUGCAGGAGAGGUAAGUGGAAUUCCUAGUGUAGCGGUGAAAUGCGUAGAUAUUAGGAGGAACACCAGUGGCGAAGGCGGAUUACUGGACUGUAACUGACGUUGAGGCUCGAAAGCGUGGGGAGCAAACAGGAUUAGAUACCCCUGUAGUC